CGGAGAGUGGCGCAGUGGCUUAGCGCGCUAGCAUCGGGAGCUAGAGGUCCCGGGUUCAAGUCCCGGCUCUCCGA
rnacentral:tRNA from 1 species